UCCCUCAUGGUCCGCUGGUGAGGACUCCAUGCUUCUAAUGCUGGGGUCCCUGGUUCAAUCCCUAGUGAGGGAA
rfam:Ovis aries breed Texel chromosome 5, whole genome shotgun sequence.